rnacentral:rRNA from 1 species
AGAGUUUGAUCAUGGCUCAGAUUGAACGCUGGCGGCAGGCCUAACACAUGCAAGUCGAGCGGUAGCACAGAGAGCUUGCUCUCGGGUGACGAGCGGCGGACGGGUGAGUAAUGUCUGGGAAACUGCCUGAUGGAGGGGGAUAACUACUGGAAACGGUAGCUAAUACCGCAUAACGUCGCAAGACCAAAGUGGGGGACCUUCGGGCCUCAUGCCAUCAGAUGUGCCCAGAUGGGAUUAGCUAGUAGGUGGGGUAACGGCUCACCUAGGCGACGAUCCCUAGCUGGUCUGAGAGGAUGACCAGCCACACUGGAACUGAGACACGGUCCAGACUCCUACGGGAGGCAGCAGUGGGGAAUAUUGCACAAUGGGCGCAAGCCUGAUGCAGCCAUGCCGCGUGUGUGAAGAAGGCCUUCGGGUUGUAAAGCACUUUCAGCGGGGAGGAAGGCGUUAAGGUUAAUAACCUUGGCGAUUGACGUUACCCGCAGAAGAAGCACCGGCUAACUCCGUGCCAGCAGCCGCGGUAAUACGGAGGGUGCAAGCGUUAAUCGGAAUUACUGGGCGUAAAGCGCACGCAGGCGGUCUGUCAAGUCGGAUGUGAAAUCCCCGGGCUCAACCUGGGAACUGCAUUCGAAACUGGCAGGCUAGAGUCUUGUAGAGGGGGGUAGAAUUCCAGGUGUAGCGGUGAAAUGCGUAGAGAUCUGGAGGAAUACCGGUGGCGAAGGCGGCCCCCUGGACAAAGACUGACGCUCAGGUGCGAAAGCGUGGGGAGCAAACAGGAUUAGAUACCCUGGUAGUCCACGCCGUAAACGAUGUCGAUUUGGAGGUUGUGCCCUUGAGGCGUGGCUUCCGGAGCUAACGCGUUAAAUCGACCGCCUGGGGAGUACGGCCGCAAGGUUAAAACUCAAAUGAAUUGACGGGGGCCCGCACAAGCGAUGGAGCAUGUGGUUUAAUUCGAUGCAACGCGAAGAACCUUACCUGGUCUUGACAUCCACAGAACUUUCCAGAGAUGGAUUGGUGCCUUCGGGAACUGUGAGACAGGUGCUGCAUGGCUGUCGUCAGCUCGUGUUGUGAAAUGUUGGGUUAAGUCCCGCAACGAGCGCAACCCUUAUCCUUUGUUGCCAGCGGUUAGGCCGGGAACUCAAAGGAGACUGCCAGUGAUAAACUGGAGGAAGGUGGGGAUGACGUCAAGUCAUCAUGGCCCUUACGACCAGGGCUACACACGUGCUACAAUGGCAUAUACAAAGAGAAGCGACCUCGCGAGAGCAAGCGGACCUCAUAAAGUAUGUCGUAGUCCGGAUUGGAGUCUGCAACUCGACUCCAUGAAGUCGGAAUCGCUAGUAAUCGUAGAUCAGAAUGCUACGGUGAAUACGUUCCCGGGCCUUGUACACACCGCCCGUCACACCAUGGGAGUGGGUUGCAAAAGAAGUAGGUAGCUUAACCUUCGGGAGGGCGCUUACCACUUUGUGAUUCAUGACUGGGGUGAAGUCGUAACAAGGUAACCGUAGGGGAACCUGCGGUUGGAUCACCU